rnacentral:rRNA from 1 species
CUACGGGAGGCUGCAGUGGGGAAUAUUGCACAAUGGGCGCAAGCCUGAUGCAGCAACGCCGCGUGAGGGAUGAAGGCCUUCGGGUUGUAAACCUCUUUUAGCAGGGAAGAAGCGAAAGUGACGGUACCUGCAGAAAAAGCACCGGCUAACUACGUGCCAGCAGCCGUCGGUAAUACGUAGGGUGCAAGCGUUGUCCGGAAUUAUUGGGCGUAAAGAGCUCGUAGGCGGUUUGUCACGUCUGCUGUGAAAAUCCAAGGCUCAACCUUGGACUUGCAGUGGGUACGGGCAGGCUAGAGUGCGGUAGGGGAGAUGGGAAUUCCUGGUGUAGCGGUGGAAUGCGCAGAUAUCAGGAGGAACACCAAUGGCGAAGGCACAUCUCUGGGCCGUAACUGACGCUGAGGAGCGAAAGCGUGGGGAGCGAACAGGAUUAGAUACCCCAGUAGUC